GUGCUCUCUUCGGCAGCACAUAUACUAAAACUGGAACGAUACAGAGAAGAUUAGCAUGGCCACUGUGCAAGGAUGACAUGCAAAUUCAUGCAGCGUAUUAUAUUAAA
rnacentral:snRNA from 1 species